rnacentral:lncRNA from 1 species
AUUUGUCACCCUCUAAAAACAGAUGCCAACAGCUUCUGGAGAGGCAGAAGAUACGGUCAUGAAAUGAGAGCCUUAGAUCAAAACAUCAAUCCUUUUGGCAUUUAAGGUGCUUUAUGUGCUGGGGAUUGAACCUGGGGCCUCAGACCUACUAGGCGAAUGCUCUACCACUGAGUUUCACUCUCACCCUGAGAGUCAUCUCCGGAAAGAAGAGUUCCGGGAACCACCUGAGAGACAGUCUCAGCCUGGGCACUAUGAGGGGACAGAGUGAAGACCCUGGACCCAUGGGAGACACGG